rnacentral:rRNA from 2 species
CGUUGAUUGACGUGCUUGCACUGAUUUCAACAUUGGAACGAGUGGCGAACUGGUGAGUAACACGUGGAAAACCUGCCCAGAAGCAGGGGAUAACACUUGGAAACAGGUGCUAAUACCGUAUAACAACAAAAACCGCAUGGUUUUUGUUUGAAAGGUGGCUUCGGCUAUCACUUCUGGAUGGUUCCGCGGCGCAUUAGCUUGUUGGUGGGGUAACGGCUCACCAAGGCGAUGAUGCGUAGCCGACCUGAGAGGGUAAUCGGCCACAUUGGGACUGAGACACGGCCCAGACUCCUACGGGAGGCAGCAGUAGGGAAUCUUCCACAAUGGACGCAAGUCUGAUGGAGCAAUGCCGCGUGAGUGAAGAAGGGUUUCGGCUCGUAAAACUCUGUUGUUGAAGAAGAACGGGUGUCAGAGUAACUGUUGACAUCGUGACGGUAUUCAACCAGAAAGCCACGGCUAACUACGUGCCAGCAGCCGCGGUAAUACGUAGGUGGCAAGCGUUGUCCGGAUUUAUUGGGCGUAAAGCGAGCGCAGGCGGUUUCUUAAGUCUGAUGUGAAAGCCUUCGGCUUAACCGAAGAAGUGCAUCGGAAACUGGGGGAACUUGAGUGCAGAAGAGGACAGUGGAACUCCAUGUGUAGCGGUGGAAUGCGUAGAUAUAUGGAAGAACACCAGUGGCGAACGCGGCUGUCUAGUCUGCAACUGACGCUGAGGCUCGAAAGCAUGGGUAGCGAACAGGAUUA